GCUUGGUUCACAAACGGAUAGGUUUCAUCAUGCUGCCAGGGCAGGAGGCAGAGCCAGGUGGCUCCUGGGAGCUUCUCUUGUUCUUAUUAAAGGUUUCUCUUGUGUGCUUCUGGUGUGUCAUUAUGGACAGUGAGAACAUUUGCUUAGCAACCACAAAAUUGCCCAAGGCAGACAGACCUGUCUAGGAAUCCUGGCUCCCUCAGCCCCUAGUUUCGCCUCAGCCCAAUGGAGAUCUAUUAUUAGCCCUGGGUUUCUAGAGGAGAAAGCCGAGUCACAGGGAGAUUAAGAGGCUUGCCUGAAGUCAUGGAGCUAAAUGGGUUUGGAACCAGGACUUGAACGAAAC